CCAGCUAAAUUUGAAUUUCAGAUAAAUAAUAAAUAAUGUUUUAGUAUAAGUAUGUCCUAUGCAAUAUUUAGGACAUACUUAUACUAAAACAUUAGUUGUUAUUUUCUGAAAUUCAAAUUUAAUCAGGCGUC
rnacentral:miRNA from 1 species